UAAGCGACUAAGCGUACACGGUGGAUGCCCUGGCAGUCAGAGGCGAUGAAGGACGUGCUAAUCUGCGAUAAGCGUCGGUAAGGUGAUAUGAACCGUUAUAACCGGCGAUUUCCGAAUGGGGAAACCCAGUGUGAUUCGUCACACUAUCAUUAACUGAAUCCAUAGGUUAAUGAGGCGAACCGGGGGAACUGAAACAUCUAAGUACCCCGAGGAAAAGAAAUCAACCGAGAUUCCCCCAGUAGCGGCGAGCGAACGGGGAGCAGCCCAGAGCCUGAAUCAGUGUGUGUGUUAGUGGAAGCGUCUGGAAAGGCGCGCGAUACAGGGUGACAGCCCCGUACACAAAAAUGCACAUGCUGUGAGCUCGAUGAGUAGGGCGGGACACGUGGUAUCCUGUCUGAAUAUGGGGGGACCAUCCUCCAAGGCUAAAUACUCCUGACUGACCGAUAGUGAACCAGUACCGUGAGGGAAAGGCGAAAAGAACCCCGGCGAGGGGAGUGAAAAAGAACCUGAAACCGUGUACGUACAAGCAGUGGGAGCACAGAGCAAUCUGUGUGACUGCGUACCUUUUGUAUAAUGGGUCAGCGACUUAUAUUCUGUAGCAAGGUUAACCGAAUAGGGGAGCCGAAGGGAAACCGAGUCUUAACUGGGCGUUAAGUUGCAGGGUAUAGACCCGAAACCCGGUGAUCUAGCCAUGGGCAGGUUGAAGGUUGGGUAACACUAACUGGAGGACCGAACCGACUAAUGUUGAAAAAUUAGCGGAUGACUUGUGGCUGGGGGUGAAAGGCCAAUCAAACCGGGAGAUAGCUGGUUCUCCCCGAAAGCUAUUUAGGUAGCGUCUCGUGAAUUCAUCUCCGGGGGUAGAGCACUGUUUCGGCAAGGGGGUCAUCCCGACUUACCAACCCGAUGCAAACUGCGAAUACCGGAGAAUGUUAUCACGGGAGACACACGGCGGGUGCUAACGUCCGUCGUGAAGAGGGAAACAACCCAGACCGCCAGCUAAGGUCCCAAAGUCAUGGUUAAGUGGGAAACGAUGUGGGAAGGCCCAGACAGCCAGGAUGUUGGCUUAGAAGCAGCCAUCAUUUAAAGAAAGCGUAAUAGCUCACUGGUCGAGUCGGCCUGCGCGGAAGAUGUAACGGGGCUAAACCAUGCACCGAAGCUGCGGCAGCGACGCUGAUGCGUUGUUGGGUAGGGGAGCGUUCUGUAAGCCUGCGAAGGUGUGCUGUGAGGCAUGCUGGAGGUAUCAGAAGUGCGAAUGCUGACAUAAGUAACGAUAAAGCGGGUGAAAAGCCCGCUCGCCGGAAGACCAAGGGUUCCUGUCCAACGUUAAUCGGGGCAGGGUGAGUCGACCCCUAAGGCGAGGCCGAAAGGCGUAGUCGAUGGGAAACAGGUUAAUAUUCCUGUACUUGGUGUUACUGCGAAGGGGGGACGGAGAAGGCUAUGUUGGCCGGGCGACGGUUGUCCCGGUUUAAGCGUGUAGGCUGGUUUUCCAGGCAAAUCCGGAAAAUCAAGGCUGAGGCGUGAUGACGAGGCACUACGGUGCUGAAGCAACAAAUGCCCUGCUUCCAGGAAAAGCCUCUAAGCAUCAGGUAACAUCAAAUCGUACCCCAAACCGACACAGGUGGUCAGGUAGAGAAUACCAAGGCGCUUGAGAGAACUCGGGUGAAGGAACUAGGCAAAAUGGUGCCGUAACUUCGGGAGAAGGCACGCUGAUAUGUAGGUGAAGUCCCUCGCGGAUGGAGCUGAAAUCAGUCGAAGAUACCAGCUGGCUGCAACUGUUUAUUAAAAACACAGCACUGUGCAAACACGAAAGUGGACGUAUACGGUGUGACGCCUGCCCGGUGCCGGAAGGUUAAUUGAUGGGGUCAGCGCAAGCGAAGCUCUUGAUCGAAGCCCCGGUAAACGGCGGCCGUAACUAUAACGGUCCUAAGGUAGCGAAAUUCCUUGUCGGGUAAGUUCCGACCUGCACGAAUGGCGUAAUGAUGGCCAGGCUGUCUCCACCCGAGACUCAGUGAAAUUGAACUCGCUGUGAAGAUGCAGUGUACCCGCGGCAAGACGGAAAGACCCCGUGAACCUUUACUAUAGCUUGACACUGAACAUUGAGCCUUGAUGUGUAGGAUAGGUGGGAGGCUUUGAAGUGUGGACGCCAGUCUGCAUGGAGCCGGCCUUGAAAUACCACCCUUUAAUGUUUGAUGUUCUAACGUUGACCCGUAAUCCGGGUUGCGGACAGUGUCUGGUGGGUAGUUUGACUGGGGCGGUCUCCUCCUAAAGAGUAACGGAGGAGCACGAAGGUUGGCUAAUCCUGGUCGGACAUCAGGAGGUUAGUGCAAUGGCAUAAGCCAGCUUGACUGCGAGCGUGACGGCGCGAGCAGGUGCGAAAGCAGGUCAUAGUGAUCCGGUGGUUCUGAAUGGAAGGGCCAUCGCUCAACGGAUAAAAGGUACUCCGGGGAUAACAGGCUGAUACCGCCCAAGAGUUCAUAUCGACGGCGGUGUUUGGCACCUCGAUGUCGGCUCAUCACAUCCUGGGGCUGAAGUAGGUCCCAAGGGUAUGGCUGUUCGCCAUUUAAAGUGGUACGCGAGCUGGGUUUAGAACGUCGUGAGACAGUUCGGUCCCUAUCUGCCGUGGGCGCUGGAGAACUGAGGGGGGCUGCUCCUAGUACGAGAGGACCGGAGUGGACGCAUCACUGGUGUUCGGGUUGUCAUGCCAAUGGCACUGCCCGGUAGCUAAAUGCGGAAGAGAUAAGUGCUGAAAGCAUCUAAGCACGAAACUUGCCCCGAGAUGAGUUCUCCCUGACUCCUUGAGAGUCCUGAAGGAACGUUGAAGACGACGACGUUGAUAGGCCGGGUGUGUAAGCGCAGCGAUGCGUUGAGCUAACCGGUACUAAUGAACCGUGAGGCUUAACCU
rnacentral:rRNA from 1 species